rnacentral:lncRNA from 1 species
GGGACUCGCCCAAUACCAAAGGCAACUCUUGUGAUUCACGAGACUCUCAACAAAACAAAAGGCAAAGGCAAAAGCAAAUCCACAAACCUAAAACCCCAGCUUCACGAGAAUCAUCACAAGAAGAUUAAUGGAGACAGCUGAAAGUACAAGCUCGAUGAAGCAGCAGCAGCAAGUGCUGGACGGUUCAAAUAUAAUGAAGUUGGUUGGAAAUGAGGAGGUGUUUAGCAGCUUUGUUGAUCAUAAGUUCCAAGAACUUGACAGAGACAGAGAUGGUCAGCUCUCUGUGAAGGAGCUUCAGCCUGCUGUUGCUGAUAUUGGUGCUGCUGUUGGCUUGCCGGCUCAGGGCUCUUCUCCUGAUUCUGAUCACAUCUACUCUGAGGUUCAUUUCUACGCGAACCCCAUUUCAUUUUUUUUUUAUAUUCUUACCGUUAUAGGAAUAGUUAUUUUUAUUUAUAUUUGACAGCUAGUGAUUUUAUUUUCGUAAUUUUAUUUCCAUAAUGGUUAUUCUUAUCACACCAAUAAUACUACUUGUAGUCAGUUACUUUUCUGUUUAAUUGAACGAGCCUAUAUUACUUAUACGUCAAGCCUGUGAUUUCAUUACACAACCCUAUUUCAAUUAUAAGAAUACAAUUAUGUUGUGUUUACUUGUUGGAGUGGGAGUGAGGAGUGUAGAUUCCUCCCACUCCAGCGUUCUACACUCCAGCGUUUACUUCCUUAAAAUGAGAAAGGAGUGGGAAUCUCAUUCUGUGAGCCCCACCCAUUUUUAGAGUGGGGAGUGGGAGUGGGAGUGGGAGGUGGGAGUGGAUUCCCACUCCCACCUCUCCCUUUUUUACCCUUUUAUUUUUUAAUUUAAUAUUUUAUAAUUAAUAAAAUAAAUAAUAUUAUAUUUAUUUAAAUAAUAAUAUUAUAUUUAUUUGAAUAAUAUUAUUAUAUUUAUUUGAAUAAUAAUAUUAUAUUUAACUAAAUAAUAAUUUGUAUUGAUUCUAAGUUAAAAUUAUUUUAAAAUAAUAUUAUUAUAUUAAUAGAGAAUUAAUAAAUAUAAUAUUAUUAUAUUUAUUUUAAAAAUAAUAGUACUAUAUUUAUUUAAUAUUAAUAAUAAUAAAUAGUUUAUUCUAAGAAAAUAUUAAUUUUGUACUAAAUAAUAUUAUAUUAUUAUUUUAUAUAAUAAUAAAUUUAAUAUAAUUAUAUUAAAUAAAAUAAGGUUUCAUUUUAUAUUAAAAUUAAUAAUUUAUUGUUCAUAAUUAAGAAUAUUAAUAAUUAUAAUAAAUUUACAAAUAUAAUAAAAUAAAUAUUAUUCAUUAAAUAUAUAUUUUAUUAGUUUUGUAAUUAAAAACUAUAAUUCUUUAAAUAAGGAUAAAAUUGUAAUUUGAAACUAUUUACUCACAAUCCAAGACAAAGUAAACACAUAAAAUGGAUUCUGAUCUCUAUUCCAUACUUCCAUUCCAGUGUAAGUAAACAACAUACUCCCACUCCCACUCCACACUCCCAAUCCUAGGAUUCCCAAUCCAAUCCAAAAAGUAAACGCAGCCUUAAUCUUUUUUUUUUAAAGCAAUAGUCUCAUAGUUACUAUUUACAACUGAUCUGAUCUGUUCCUUGAGUUUGAUUUUUUUAAAAAAAAAAAAUCUCCCCUAAUUGUAAGUUAGUGAUAUCGUAUCCAAAGAACAAGUUAGAAAAUAAAAAAAUAAAAAAUAGAAAAUAUCAUUUUUUUUGUUGCAAGCUCCAAAGCUAGCGAGAAUAAGAUAAAGAUGUUACAUAAGUGGUGAAAAUUUUUGUGCUCUCCGUUACGUUUCAAAUUAAACUUAUCUUUCAAUGAUGAUAAAUGAGCAAAAAUUGUGUCAUCAUCAUCAGAUUGUCACUCGACUGUCCUCUUGUGUCAUUCAUAUUUUUCAAUUUUAGGAAAAUUUAGGAAUGGAAAAGAAGGUGGGGCAAUCUAUUCCUGGUUGGUGGGUACUGCACAGUCUAAUCUUGAUAUAACAUUUUGGUGAUCUUAAUUUCAAUUGAACAUAAUUGUAGAAGGUCGGCUACUCAAUUACGUUAACAUAUAAGCUGUCUAAUGUUUCCAUUUUCUGCGUAGUUAGCUCCAUAAUUGUCCAACCUAUUAUUCAAUUUUGGUCGGUGUAUUGCGGCUUUAUAACUUUUAAUUAGCUAGCCUUUUCUUUAUUUCUUUUCUUAUUGACUUUUUCAAUUUUCUUGCUUUGUAUAUAUCUUCAUAGUUAAGGAGGAAUCUAGUGAUGAAUGUUGUGGAACUUACUGCUUGUCUCUUUGGAACUUUAUUGAUGUUCAAGAAAUAAUGUAAAUGGGGACCAAAGUCAAUUUGCUUUUUAAUAAUUUGCAAUGAAGGUUUAAGUGGAGCCUCAUGACUUUGCUUGCGGAACAAGUACCAGGGUGGUCCUGUUGUUUUGUUACUUCGAGAACAUAACUACGAGAAACCUGUUUAACAAGAGACAUUUUUGGUGGAAUUUAAGAAACUAGCCGAUUGUGUGGCACAAGGGCUAAAAGAGCAGCCUGUGAUUGUUGCCCAUAGUAAAAAUAUUUUUGAUGGAAGUGGCAUUAAGAGACUCUUGUCAAACAAGUUUGAAUUAGACAAGGUGUGUCCUGUUUAAAACAUGCUUUUGUGUCAUAUUUUGGAGUGCAGCAUUAUUAUGGAAAAGCUUACUGAACUUCAUCUCAAAAUACAGACAAGGACUGCAGCUCUAGAGAUUGUGCCAAAAUAUCGUAAUGGGAAAUUAUCAAAAGACUAUUUACGUGUAGCAUUGGAUGCAGUGGCCGCAUCAGCUAGUUUACCCCGAAUUGGUGCAGUCGCACAGGUAUACUUCAUCAACUUGUGUUGCAGACAUUCCAACAAUAAUAUUAGAAGACAAUGCUGUUUGUAUUACACUAAUAAUUUAGCGGUCUUUUUACUAAAGGUUUACCCACUUCAACCUAGGAAAAACUAGUUUAUAGUAUUGGCAUGUGUCGCCUCAGUAGAUUAUCAGGUAGUCUAUAGCAUUGGCAUGCGUCAACUCAAUAGAUUACCAAAUUGAUGUUUGUCUAUUUGAUGGGAAGUAUUCUACCAGGGGGAGCAUAAAUAUCUAAGAGAAGAACUAUAAAAAGUAGAUACAUGUGCUCUACACUCCUUUUUUCUAUGACUAGCUUUUCUCAUCUGAGUUUUUAUUGGUGAAGGCUUUUAAUGAGAGUUAUUUUAUGACCAUAUGAAAGUGGUGGACAUUCAAUGGAGAGUAUUGUGUAACAAUGGGUUUACUGCUUGUUGAUGCAGGAUUUUGGUCUGCUCGUUCAAGAUUAGGAUUUCUCCUCAAACACUUGAAUUUGUAGUUGGUAGGGAAUGAGCUCGAGGUGCUUCUUUCCCUGAUGAGCAGGGUUUUAGAGAACUAAACUUGGCCUUGGCAAACCCUUGCACACACAACCAGUCAAGGGACGCCGGUAGUUUUUUCAACGUAAACCUUCCAACACUCAAAUCAAUAAUCUGGACUUAUUUAGGAAAAGCUAUGCCACUGAUUCGUGGCUUUGUUUUAAUUUUUAUCCCGUUAAUGUAAGAGACUUAUCAAAGAGAGUAAAAACCAGAAUGUCAAAGUGAAUUGUUAUAUAGAUAAGUUCAAUGUCCGAGUCUCCAACUCCUUUACCAUCAUUAAAUGUACCCUUUUAUAACUUGUUUGGGCGUUCUGUCUCCACUACCCCACGUUCAUGACUAUGUCAAGUGUUUCAUCAUGAGUGUAUCAGCGUUAUAACCAUUGCUAAGUAGGUUUUGUGUCUGGAAUCUCUGGAAAGAAUGCACGUGUUGAUAUCUCCUCGUAUUUUGUCUAACAACUGCACCAUAUAGCUCCCCGCCUACGAGCAAGUAGCUCCUGCACAUGGAUACCAGACAGCUCCUCGUGACCAAAGAAGCGACCCCUGCUCGGAUAUAUUUGGUCGGGACAUCAUACAUCCCAAACACAAUUAUUUUCAUUUAGUAUAUUUAUAGCUUAUUAAAAUAACUUAAAUCUAAUAAGCCUGCAGUUCAUUGAUUUAUUAAUUAAAUUUAAUGUAAUUUUUCACUAUAAAUAGCUAUGAGAAUAUAAGCCAAAAGCAUCCCAUUCUUAUUAUCUUUUUAUUUAGUACGAAGAAAGAUUUUUUUCUUAUCUUAAAUUUACUUUUUAUUAAUAAUUAUUAUUAUCUUAUUUAUUACAUUUUAGUAAUUUUUUUACAAAAUAUAAAAUAAAUUAUUUUUGUAACCUAUCCAUACUGUUAAAUUAUGAAACUUCGAAUGGAAAGAGUGGCACGUGAGACCAUGAUAAUUCAUUAUAAUACAAAUUAAACAACUCCAAAAAAAAAAAAAAGGUCCAGGUGCACUUCACAACGCAAAAGCUGUCGAAAACUACAAAAUAUUUUGUUGAUCUUUACUUUUCUUCAUUAAAAGUAUGCAAUUUAUUUUCACCAAAUGCAAGAGCAUGUCAGAAAAAUGAUCUAGCAAACACGUGUUUUAUUUUGUUAUUUUGCCAAAACAAAAAAUGACUUGUCAAAAACAAUAUCAUACUUAGCAACUCCCUUUAUCUUCAUAAUAAAAAAUGACGAACUUCAUUACUUGCCAAUUACCGUUUUCCCGCAGAUUUUAUUCAGGGUUGAAGCAUAUUUGUUUGGGGAGCAUAAUAAAGAUAGAUUUUACAAUGCCAAAGAAUUUCAUAAAAAAGUAGAUUAGAUUAGCGAUUAGACGAUUAAUAAAAAAAAUUUUUACUAAGCCAAACCUUUUAUUUUUUUUUUUCUUACAAGUGAAAAUUUUUCUUAAAAUUUUAUCAUUAAUUUAAAAUAUACUUUAAACACCAAUAUUUUCAUAACACCCCAUUAAAAAUUAUCAAUUUUGCAAAUGUAUGUUUGACACUAUAAAACCCAUCAAAAUGCCAAAACUCUUCGUAUUUUUUCUUGUCUCAUCUUCUUCCUUCGCCCAUUUUUUUGUAUAUUGAGAACUCUUAAUAUCAAAGGAAAAAAAUCUCUUAAUACUAUAAAUUUAUGAUACCUUUGUAUUAACUUGCUAGAAUUCUUUCGUAUUAACUAAAAAUACUUCCGCACAAGAAAAAUUAAUCUUCUUCAAUCUAUAAUAUUUUUAUAUGUGUAGUUCCCAUUAGAUCUACGUUUCAUUGAGAUUAAAAAUUUAAGGGGAAAUAAACGGUUAAUUGAAUGGCGUGUUCGUGGCAGAUUGUAAGUUCAAUUUUCAUUCAUUUCAUCAGAAAAAAAACGUUAUUUUGAAUUGAGGAAUCAUAAUCUUGAUAGACUGCAUUUUGACAGCCAAAUUACGAAAUCAAGAAGAAGACAAAUUGCUUUUUGCUUGUGAUUCAAUAAUUUACUUUUGACGGUGACAAUAAUCCAGCAAAAAGUUGAUGAAUUGGAAAUUGAGAACUCACUGUCACCUUCUCUUUUUUGAAAGUAACCCAUUUUCACUUUAUUGCAAUCCAAAAUAGUAGAUUGGCAGUCUAUUGUUUUCACUUUACUGCAAUUCAAAAUGGUAAAUUGGUAGUCUAGUAAAGCCUCCAAAACCAGCGGCGGAUCCGAGAAAUAAAUUCAGAAGGGCCUUAAUAUAAAUUGAUAAAAAAAAAUUCGAUAAGAUAAUAAAAAUCAAUUGAAAAAAUAAUAAGUAAAAUAUUUAAUUUUAUUGACAUAAUCAUUUUUUAAACUUCUUCAACUGAUCUCGACGUGUUUUCAUAUUUUGAAAACGUCGAAUAAUAUCUUCAUUGUUAAUACAAGCAAAUACAUCUUUUUCUAUGUAUACAACUAAGUUAUCAUUCAGUCAUUGAUCACCCAUUUGGUUUCGAAGUCGAUUCUUCACAAAAUUCAUGGCUGAAAAUACUCUUUCUACAGUGGCAGCAGCUACAAGUAGAAUUAAAGCCAAUGUAACCAAUUAGUAAACUAACGGGUACACCUUGUCCUUUUUAGUCUUAACUAUUGUCCUUACAAGUUCACAAAUCCCUUUCAAUUCUGAAAAUUCUGCACUAGAUCGUAAAUUCGUAAUGUAUACAUCAAGUUGCAUCUCAAGUGCUAUAAGAUCUAUUGCAGAAAAAUCUUUAGGAUAAAAUUCAGCAAGUCGCAGUAAUUUUUCCUUGUCAAAAGCUGCAAACAAAUCAUUUGGACAUAGAUAAGCCAAACAAAUAAGCAACUCAGUAUUUGACUCAUUGAAUCGAUUAUUUAGCUCUUGAAGUUGCAUGUCUAAGACAGCAUAAAAUAACUCAACUUGAUACCGAUGUAAAUUUGUGAUCUCUCGAGCUUUACGGCGUGAUCGCCCUGGAAUUAAAAACAAAUCACCCAUAGCUAAAACAUCGAUAUCAUGCUUGCUACAGAAAGUAGAAACUUGACCAAAUAAAGAAUCCCAUCCACUAUCUCUCAACUUCUAAAGGUUAUGCCUAUAAACUUCAACCAAUUUUACAGCAUUCAAAAUAUCUUGAUCUUUCUUUUGUAGUGCUUGUGACAACUCAUUUGCAUAGCCAAGAAUAUUUUUCAUUAAGAAUAAACAAAAUACAAAAUCAAAUGAUUGCAUCAACUUCAAUAGCAUUUUAGCAUGAAAUUUUUGUUCAUAAUUUCCUUCAACUUCAAUUAUCUCAAGCACAUUAACCACAAAUGGAAACAUAGAAAUUAUGCUCAUUAACGUACCAUAAUGAGAAGACCAGCGUGUAUCAGCAGGACGCUUUAAAGUAAUCUCUUGAUUCAAACCUUGUCCACUUGAAAGCUCGCCUUUACCUAAUGCUUCAAUAACUGCAAGAGCAUGUAUCUUAUGUAGAAUGUCACAACGUUUAGCUGACACUCCAACCACAUUAACUAGCAUUGAAACUAAAUUGAAUAAAGAAUUAACAUCCUCAUGCUUUUUUGCCACGGAAAUAAGAGCCAACUGCAGUUGAUGAGCAAAACAGUGAACAUUAUAAGCAGAUUCAUUCUCCUCUAAAAUGAGCAUUUUCAAACCAUUAAACUCACCCUGCAGAUUACUUGCGCCAUCAUAACCUUGCCCACGUAACAUUGACAAACUCAAUCCAAACCUUGAAAACAUAUUAUCAAGAGAUUCUUUAAGUGAGGCAGCUUUAGUGCUAGAAACAUGUUCAAUGCCUACAAAACGUUCAACCACAUAUCCAUUCUUAUCCACAUAACGUAAUACAAUAGCCAUUUGCUCUUUUGUAGAUAUAUCAGGAGACUCAUUAAUUAGAACAUAAAAUAAUGCACCAUCCAUCUCUCUAAUAAUAACAUUAGUAGUUUCAGUUGCAACACAACUUACAAUGUCUUUUUGGAUCUUUGUAGAUGUCAUUUGCAGAUUUAGAGGAGUAUUUUUGAAAGUAACAGCAUGAAUAUCUUCAUUAUGAUCAGCAAGGAAGUGUAAAAGCUCAAGAAAAUUCCCUCUGUUGCUUGAACCAUCAGACUCAUCAUGUCCACGAAAUGCUAGCCCUUGAUUUAAAGGAAAUCGAAUACAAUCAACAACAAUAUUCAAGCGAGUUUCAUAUUCACUUUGAGUUUUCUAGGAUUUUCUUUCAAAAAAUGUUGCAAUAUGUUGUUUCUGAUUCAUCAACCAUUCACAUUUUUGCCUAGCUCAGUUAUGGGCACUAUUGACACAUCCUUCAUGAAUCUUUAAUUUUUUUUUCUAAUUUUUAAAUCCUUUCCCAGUAAAAGUAUCACUGCCUGCUUGAUCACCAUUAUCUUCUUUGAAAAGAAAACAAAAAAGACAAUAUGCAGACUCUUCUUUUAUACUAUAUUCCAGCUAAGAACCAAAUUCUUUGAACCAAUCCGAAACAAAUCGUCGUUGUUGAUUUCUAAAUUUCUCAAAUUUAAAAUUGUGCCCCUUAGGUUGAAAAGGGCCCCUUUGUAAGUAUGUUCUUCGAACUUGAUCUCGAAUAUUACAAUUAUAACUAUCAAUACAAGGUCACAAGCUAAGGUCAUCAAGCAAAUUUUGUAAAUUGACUUCAUAUGAACCAUCACUAGUUCCCUCUAAAGGAGAUGGGAGCUGUGGUUUCUUUUUAAAUUUUUUUUUCAUAUCUGUUUCAAAUCAAAUAAAAUUAUUAAUUAUUAGAUUAAAUUUCACAAUAAGACUAAAUCCUAACAACAACGAACAAGAAUAAUUAAUUUAAUAAAAAUUUGAUAAUAUAAAAAUAUUAUUUGACAACACACUCAAUGGGGCUCACGGGAAAGAUACAUUAUUACAAAUUUUACUUUUGCAAUCGCUCAUUUAUUUACAUUAACGAAGUGAUUGCUUUUAUAAUUUAUAUAAUAAAUUAUACACCACUUUCAUCAUUUCAGAGAGCACCCACUAUUCCACCACUUUCCUUUUCAAUUUUAAUAUUAAAAAAUUGCUCAUUUUUCACAAAUCAAUUUUUACUUUUGGAAUUUUGUAUAUAACUACCAGAAUAAGAAUUGACGAACGAAGUUAGAGAGAUGCAGCACAUUCAUUCGGCCAAAAUCAUUAGUCAAACUUCAAAAUAACAUUCAAGCACAAUACUUGUUUCAAUCUAUGGGCUAUGGCUGAUCUAGCUAAGGGACGAAAUCAUGAAAGGCUCAUUUUUCAAUCUAUUUUUUAAUAAGAAUGAUAUUUAAAUUCAUUUUAAAGAGAAACAUAUAAUUAAAAAAAUGAAAAUCUUAUAUUUAAACUCAUUCUCUCAACAACCCCGAAGAUGCCCCAAAUACAAGCCGUUGGACACAAAGUUUCUUUUUUAAUUUUUUGAACUUUUUAUUUUAAAUGAGUUUACAAAUUGUCCCCUCAUCAUAGAUGAUAAGGUAUGUGUACCUUUUCACCCUCCACUUUCAAUUCUCACUGAUGUAGAUUUAAAAAGAAAAGAAAAGAAAAGUGAAGCCACCAAGUCAAUGGCAACUUGUGAAACAUUACUCGGACCUUGCUACCAAAGCUCAUUCAUUUUUCUUGCUCUCGGAAAUCACCAGAUCUGUGAGCUGCUGCUCUCAUUUCGGUAUGUUACUUUUGCUUCCUAUAUCGCUUACAGUGUUAUUUCAAUCCCUUUUUUCUCCGCCAAUGAAAGAUUUGAUAGUGAACAUGAACUUAUAUAUGAUGUUAAAUAGCUAGAUAUAUGCGAUGUUGUUUUGAUCUGAUGUUUAUUUAUGUUGCUAGAUGAAGUUUUUAAUUUUCUCCGAACUCUUGCGACUCUCUAACUGGAGCUUUCAGCAGUGAUUGAGGAUAUAUAACGAAGAAGGUAUGCGAUAUUAUUGUUUCAUAAACUCUUAAUUUGAUAUGUGUCUUACUUCCAAUGGUUGAUUAAUUUUCAUUAUAUUAUUUUUGCCAUUUAUUUGUAUUAAUUCUUAAGUCAAAGAUGGUUGAUUAAUAGGAAUCACCUCCAAGUCAUUACUGUUGACCAUACUUUAAAAAUAAAAUUAAUUUUCCUACAGGCCGUCUGGCCCCUUAGCCUUUCAAUCUCAAGUCCGAACAUGAGUCCAUUAUGCUCUCCUGCGAUUUCAAAUUGAUCCAUUUAAUACAUCUUUUGAAUUUCAUUUGUACAACAACUAUAAAAAUUAAAAGUGGCGCCGUUCAUGCUCCUCUAUUUUCCUCAUGAAACCCAGUUGGCCAAUUUUUAAACAAAAUCUUUAUUAAAAAAAUUGAUAAAUUUAUCAUUACUAAUAUCGCUCUUUUAAAAUUGACAUAUUUUGCAGAUUAUCUUCAUAUAAAUUAUACAAACCUCAAAUUAUCCUUAUACAAAUUAUUUAAUUUGCCACAAUCUUUACCAUCCCAAAUAAGGUGUCAUUUAUACCCAUUGGAUAUAUAGUAGGAUAGAGUAAUAAACAAUUUAACAAAUGAUUAAAUUAAUUGUCCAAUAGGUGAGUAUCUUGAAUACUUGAAGAAAAAAAAUAUUAGGAUAUUAUUUGACAAUUAUGGUAUUAUAUUAUUAAAAUAUUGAUUAAAGAAAAAAGGGGGUAAUAAUCUGGAAAUCCUUCAAAUUUUUUCAUGAGUGCGCGUGCAUAAGUUGUUGCGGAUUAGAAUAGGUUGUUGCGGUCUUCUAAUCUCUAUUACUCUUUUUUCAUCACUUUAGCAUAUUUCCACAUGAAACUGCCUGUCUUCACUUGCAAUUCACAACGAGCUCAAAUUUUUUUUUUUUUUAAAAAAGGUAAGGGUUAGAUAAAGCUACAAUUCAUUUCUUUUUAAACUCUUUACCUCAUCCAAGAUUCGAACCCGCUCCUUUUUGGGGCACAAUGAACUCUUAGGCUUAUCUAAAUUCUAUUAAAUUUGAUGCUUGAUAUUUUUCUUUAAAAUUUUCUAAAGCAAUCUAAUUUCAAUAUAAUCCACCAUAUAUCACGUUUACCUUAUUUCUUCUCUUCUGUUUGUAGCUAAAGGCUACUUAAAGCCCGGCGUUUGUAUUUUGCUCUUAUUGAUCAAAGCUAGCGUUAAUAAACGUGCAUUCGCAGAAUAGAAGAAAGUAAUUAAACGUUCAGAAAAAAGUAAUUAAACAUUAUCGUUCGAUCCUGUGAUUUAUAGCGUACUGAGAUCAACUUUGUUAAUUGCAGAUAAAUAGCAUGGAUAUUUUAUCAUGUGCUGGAUCAAAGUUUGCAGAAUUAUUGGGGGACGCAACCAUAAACCAAACUCGCUAUCUGUUCUGUUUCAACAACAUUGUUAAAGAACUUGAGAAUAAAGAAACUAAUUUGAAGGAGGAAAAAGAUGGCAUCAAUGAAAGAGUAGAACAAGAACGACAAAUACACCGCGCUAUUGUAAUCGAUAAAAAUGUAGAGAAGUGGUUGGAGGAUGUUGAGAAAGAAAUAGCAGAUGUUCGAAAUUUGAAAGCAAUAGUAGAUGAAAAGAAGAGCUGUCUUAACGGAUGGUGUCCUAAUUGGGGUUCCCGCUAUUGGCUGGGUAGAAAAGCAUCAAAAAAGACUAGCAAGCUGUCCGAUCUGCUACAAGACCGCAGCAAAUUCAGCACAGUUGCCCGUCCUAAACCUCUUCCAUCAGACAAAGAAUUGCCUAUACCAAGACAUUUCAUGUCUUUCGGGACUACAAAAUCGGCUUGCAAUCAGAUCAUUAAAGCACUGAAAGGAGACAACACGAAGAUAAUGGGAUUGUAUGGGAUUGGUGGUGUCGGAAAGACGACUUUGGCGAACUUUGUGGGCAAUCAACUUCGGGAAGAAAAUGUUUUCGAUGAGGUGGGGAUAGCCACUGUAUCUCAGGAUCAAAACAUAAUAAAUGUUCAAAGUGAGCUAGUAAAGUCGUUGGGUUGGGAAUUAACGGAGAAAUAUGAAAAAGAUAGAGCACGCCGAUUGCGCAUGAUGUUCUCUGAGAGUAAGAGCCGCAAGAUGCUCAUAAUUCUUGAUGAUGUCUGGAAUGAACUCGACUUGGAAAAAGUAGGUAUUCCUGUUGGUGAUAGUGACAAUUGUUGCAAAAUCCUUCUAACCACUCGGCUGCAGCCAGUUUGUGAUCGCAUGGGUUGUGACACGCAGAUCCAACUAGGUGUUCUAAGGCAAUAUGAAGGAUUGGAUUUACUAAGAAAGCAUGCUGGCAUUGAUGUUGCUGAUACAACCUUGAUUGAUGUUUCAAAACGAGUUGCUGAUGAAUGUAAGGGGCUGCCUUUAGCUAUUAAAGCUGUUGGAAAUGCACUAAGAGGAAGAACCGCUGAUGAAUGGAAUGUAGCACUAGAUAAACUACAAAAUGCAAGACUCCAUAAGAUAGAAGGUAUUGAUAAGGAUUCUCAGGGCGUUUACGGUUGUCUCAAAUUUAGUUAUGAUUAUUUGAAUGGUGAGGAUUCCAGGUCAUGCUUCUUGUUGUGUUCGCUGUUUCCAGAAGAUUAUAAGAUAGAUUUGGAGGAUUUGCUUGGAUACGGAGUGGGGUUGGUUUGGUAUCAAGCUGAGUCAAUCGAAAAAGCCAGAAGCCUGCUGCGUGGAACGAUUAAAGGACUCAAAGAUUCUUCAUUGCUGUUAGACACUGAUGAUGACGGAUUUGUGAAAAUGCAUGACGUAGUUCGCGAUGUAGCCUUAUGGAUAGGCUCAGUGGAGAAGAAAUUUUUUACUAGUAAAGUUGGCAUUGGAUUGGCGGAACGGGCAAUAGAAAAAGGCCGGGAACAAUGCAGAGGAAUCUCUUUCGUGGGAAAUAAAAAAGAAGAGCUUCCUAAUGGUUUGGCAUUUGCUAAUCUUCAUAUUUUGCGAUUGCACAAUGCUGUCUAUGACUACAAAUUGGAAGUUCCAGAACAUUUUUUCAAAGAAAUGCCAGCACUGAAAGUUGUUAAUAUAAUACGUGGAGUUCUUUCACUUAAAUCGCUUCAGAUCCUCACCAACCUCCAGGUUCUGCAGUUGAUUCGAUGUGAGGUGAGUGACGCGUCUUUCCUUGGAAAGUUGAAAAGACUUCAAAUUCUCUGUCUCCAGCGGUCUGCCAUUGAAAUUCCUGAAGAAUCGUGGGAUGAACUUAGUAGAUUGAAACUUCUACAUAUUGAUACUAGUUUUAUUUCUCCCAUCACGAUAAAAAAAUUCCCUCAAUUAGAAGAAUUUUAUGGUCUGAUAAAAAAUUGGGCGGUUGAAGGGAUGAGUUCAGAAGAAAGUUACGCCAGGUAUGCUGAGUCGGACUCCCAACCCGACGGAUCCGUUGUACAUCUUCCAAAAGACUUUUCAUUUCCGAAAUUACAAAGGUAUCACAUCGAUAAAGUUGACGGCAAUGGUUUUGUAAUUUAUAGAGGGACAAGGUGGUUAUGCAUUGAGAAUGACCAUAAGGCAACACUAGUUAUUUUUUCAGCAUUGUAUCCAGAAUUGGAAAAUCUUUAUCUAAAUAGGGUAAGAGGUUGUCAUAAUAUUGUGCCAAGCAUAGAUGGAAGGGGAUUAAAUGAGUUGACUUCUCUUGACGUCAACUAUUGCGAAGAUUUAGAAUGCAUAAUGGAUGCCUCUAAGUCGCCGCAUGGAAAGAGUGGGAAUCCUGUGAUGCUCUCAAGAUUAGCAAGGUUAUAUAUGUCAGAAUUACAAGAACUGAAGUGGAUAUGGAAGGCGCCCGCCCAACAUGUGAUCAGCCUCCAAUCUCUUACAGAAUUAAGUGUGUCACGGUGCAACAAUUUGACAUAUAUCUUCACGUUGUCACAAGCUCGAAGUUUGGUGCAGCUUAAAACUCUGGAAGUGAGGGAGUGUGAGAGACUGGAAUGUAUCAUCAAAGCAAAAUUUGAUCAUAAUGAAGGGGAAAUAAGUGCAGUAGAUGGAAAUACAAUACUCGAGCUCCCUUUGUUGAGAAAAUUAAGAUUUGAAGAUAUCCCCGAACUCAUGAGCUUCGGUUCAGAAAAUUAUUAUUCAACUUGGCCGGCAUUGGAGGAGUUAGACCUAAGCAGCUGUCCUAAAUUGACCGUCAACAGUAUUGAACUUGAAGCCAAUUUGCAGUAUCUUGGAGAGGUAUGUUUGUUUGUGUUUAUGUUUUAUUCUUUUUUUUCCUUUAAUUUUAUUCAAAAUGAUAGUUUAUCGAUAACUUUUGUAAUCAGUCAUUCAUAUCACCUUGCAUUUGGCCGUGUUGAGAUGAAAGUGAUGGUGGUAGUAGUGGUGAUGGUGUAAUCAGUCAUUCAUAUCACCUUGCAUUUGGCCGUGUUGAGAUGAAAGUGAUGGUGGUAGUAGUGGUGAUGGUGGUAAUGGUGAUGAUGACAAUAAUAAUGAUCCAGUAUCUUAAGCAAAUUUCUUUGUUUUAGGGCCUAAAAUUCAUUCUUCAAAUAAAAGUCAUAUCUCGUUUUACUUUAUUAAAAAACUGGAUGCAAUCACUUGUAAAGAGUAUAUAUUAUUAGUCAAAUUCAAUUCAUUAGUUAAUUUAACCAUAGAAAUAAAAUACUAUUUUUUCUCAAACAAACCGAUGCCACUGCAAUAUCACUUCACAUUAUCUCUUUCAACAAAUUUCUUUUUAUUUUUCAUAAAUUCGUUACUUUCACAAAGUAUAAUUAUUUUAUAAGUUUACAUAUGUAGUAUUAUAUUUUUAUAGGAAUUUUUUUAGUGUUUGUCGCUUAAUUGUCAAUUUGACAAUCCUAGCUGCUAACAAAUUUUAAUUACAUCAAGUUAUUUAUUUAUUUGUCUCAGAAAUUAAGAAUCCUAAGAGUAGGCAAAUGCUUCCAUUUGCAUGACACAAUUGACGCUCUGUUGAAGCAUGGCUUAAAAAAUUUGGAAACAUUGUCUAUUGGAGAACUUGGAGUACAAGUGGUAUUUCAAGUGGAAGUUAUUAUCGCUGCGGGACAAGAAAACAAACUAUUCCCAUGUUUGAAGACGUUGUGGUUGGAAAACCUUCGAGAACUGCAAGUAUUAUACCAUGAAGGUCCUACGCAUAAUUUUAGCCUGCAAAAUCUUACCAGAUUUACUGUAAGGGGUGCACUAUGCUGAGACGUCUCUUCUCAUCAACACUUGCUCGAAAUCUGUUGCAAUUGGAGCAUUUGGAGAUUUAUAAUUGUCCGGAAUUAGAGCAAAUCAUUGCUGAGGAUGAGGAUGAGGAUGAGGAGCAUCUCCAACCUGUAGGUCCCAUGCAUAAUUUUAGCCUGCAAAGUCUUACAUGUUUAAAAGUGGACGGGUGCACUGUGCUGAGACGUCUCUUCUCAUCAACACUUGCUCGUAAUCUGUUGCAAUUGGAGAAGCUGGAAAUUUAUUUUUGCUGGGAAUUAGAGCAAAUCAUUGCUGAGGAUGAGGAUGAGGAGCAUCUCCAACCUGUAUGUUUCUCAAAACUCAGAAGCAUCACUGUCGGUUUUUGCCCCAAACUAAAGCAUCUAUUUCAUAUCAGCGUAGCUCCAAGUCUUCAAAAACUGUCGCGCCUAUGCAUGAUAGGUAAUGAUAAAUUAGAAGAAGUAUUCUGGCAUAAAGAUGGAGCAGACGUCACGGAUUACAAUGAAAUUGUUAUGAAUGAACUUGGGAGGUUGGAACUGAGAGAUUUACUAAACCUCACCAACAUUUGGCCUGCGGGUUAUCAGAUCCCAUUUCCAUGUGCCAAGUCUGUAGAUGUUAAUAAUUGUCCCAAGCUUCGUCUAAAUUCAGAAGGAGAUAGAUGAUUCCAAGAAUUCUGGAGCACAGGUCAACUCUUGAGAACUUUAGUUAAUUGACUCUAUACAUAGUUGGUUCAUGUUUUCGUUUGUGAUAGCUAAUUGAUCUAUCCUAAAAUCAAAAUUUCUCUUUCAACAUAUAUGUGUUAUAUUUUAAUUUUCUCUGUUUGUUUUUUUUUUUAAUCAUUUUAUUCAUCAUUCGUAUUUAAUGCCCAAUUUAUUGGUUGGAUAUAUAGGCACAGCAAACUACAGACGAGGCAGAUGCCAGCUAAGAGAGGGAUGCCAAUGAAGACGCCAGCGAAGAAAAAGAUGGCAUCGAACAUAAAUGACUUUAAAAAAUUCAAAAAAAAAAGCUUUGUUCAGUUCGCGCAAGAAGCUAACAAGCUUUGUUCUAUACUUGCUCUGCAGAUGGAUGGUUAAUAUUUAGUGCGUGCUCAAAUUGUGAAGACUAAAGUUUCAAGACUUUGUUGUAUGUAUCUCAAGAUUUGCUCAACUUCAAAAUUCACCUGUUCUGUUUGUGAUCAUUGUUUCUUCAAUUGUUGAAAUUUUGACAAAAUUGCUGGCUAAAUUAAUGGCCUUUUCGAUGGGCAUUAAUUGGGCUAAUUUAGUAGUAACACGCAUUUUCUAGACGGCGAAGAAAAUGUGUGGUGACAGCAAUAAUUUUUAUUUUUUAAGUUUGCGAGAGUAUUGGAUAUUUUGGGAUUUUAGGAAGUGAGACUUCAUCAACUCAUAAAUGAGUGGCUACAAAUGUGUCUUUCGCGUUCGAUCUCUAUAUAUAUAGGUUUAAAUACAAUGGACGCUACUUCAUUUUUCAUAUUUUUGGAGAAGCCAAAAUCAAAAGCAAAACAGAGAGAAGAAAAAGAAAUUGGGAGAAAGAAAGAAAAAGAAAAGAAGAAAAGAAAUAAAAGAAAACAGAGAAGCCAAGAGUGAAGAAAAAUAGAAAAAGGAAGGGAAAAUAGAAAGGAGUCUAAGAAGCCGAGAGUAAAAAAGAAGUUGAAAAGAGAAAUUGAGAAGAAACUUUAAGGAAAUGAAACUAGGCAGCUAGAUUGAUAUCUAGUGAAUUAGUGAGCAAUAGAUAUAUAAAGUUCGAAUAGUUAUAUUACAGUUUUCAUGAUACAUAUCAGGUAUUAUAUUAAUUAUAGUAGUUAAUUUUUUAACCCUGUGUUUUAAGAGAAAUUUAUGUUUCCAGAAACCCACAAGAGCUUGAACAAACCCGAGAGUAAACUAGGCUCUGUGAAUGGAUAUUAUUAUUACUAUUAUGCAUUCUAUGAAGCAUUUAUGUUUUAUAGUAUAAUUUAAUAUCAUGUUAUAAUGAUAUGCACAAAUUUUAUAUGUUUGAUUGAGUCAUAAGAUGUAAUUGCCAGUCACCAUAUAUGUAUUCUUUCACAUUACCUCUGUACAUGCAGAUUGAGAGUUAGGUUACUCUACCCGUGUAAUGUAGUUAAAUUCAGCUAGUAUUGAGAGGUUUUUCCCCUGCCUGCUCGUGCGAUGAUAAUUUUGGUGAGUAUUAAGAGUUAUUUUCCCUGGGUACUAUUUGUUGCAGUUUUUCCAUGUAUAUAUGUAUGAUUUUAUGUCAUACGAUUAUGUAUGAGCUCUAGUGCAUUACUUUAUAUAUAUAUAUAUAUAUAUAUAUAUAUAUAUAUAUAUAUAUAUAUAUAUAUAUAUAUAUAUAUAUAUAUAUAUAUAUAUAUAUAUAAUUAUAUUCACUCACUGAAUCAUAAACUCACUAUUCUCCUAUUUAUCUCAUUUUUCCUAGGUCUCGGCUGGAUUUAUGCAAUUCGAUUUUUAAUCAAUUGAGGUUAGGCCAUGACACACAUUGCUGCAUGACUUGCAUUUUGAGCACGUUUAUGUCCAUAUGUAUAUAUCUAAGAUAUAUGUGUAUAUAGUGAGUUUUAAAUUGUACGAAAUUUGAAUAUGUUUAUUAUAUGUUUUAUAGUAAAGGCCCGAGGCCAUUUUUAUAUAUCCAUGAAUUAGUUUAUGUCGUGAGUUUUAAAUAUUAAACCGCAUGAUUCGCCGCGAAUCCGACAUAUGGGUCGGGCGGGUCGUGUCAUUCAUCCAUCACGAUUUUACAAUUUAUAUCAUUCAUCCAAAAUAUCUUUAAUUUCCAAUAGAAAUUUGACAAAAUCAUAGCAAAUUGAUCAUUUUGCUCUUGAAAGUCAAUUUAACGUAAAAAGACAAAGGAAAAUUAUCAACCACAUACUUUUAGUUUACCUUGUUAUUGAAAACACUAAAAAGUUUGAAUUUAUUUAAUUUUUUACUCAAGAUUUAUAAUUGAUAUCAACUACCCACCAAAAAUGUUAACACUAAAAAGAACAAGCUUAAUAACAAAACUAGAAAAAUUGAACAAAAACAGGGUGAACACAAUGGGAUUUUGAAGGAAAAAUGAGCACACCUAUCUUGAUCAAAGACGCAGCACAAGAUCAACGGAUACAGAGAAAAUGAAUGCUAAUGAACAAGUCGAGAAUCCAAGGAUUUGAACAAGAAAUGAAAGAGUACAAGUCACACCAAUCGGGCAAACAGAUCAGUCUUUUUAUGCAAUUCUAGGUUUGUUAUGAAGAUAACAAACUUAUCUAACCUGCAUCCUUUUUCACUUUAAGUCCUUUAACCGGGUUCUAUCAAAUCCUUUCACAGGAGGUAGACAUCACAGCCUUGUGAUUGACAAAGAUAGCUUCCCUCGUGCUGAGCUCGAGCUCACAGCAUGGACUGAAGAUGGGCUCAUAAUGGCUGCCGGUCACAAGAAAUAUAAGCAUCUGCUUGGGAUUCAGUUUCAUCUGGAGAGCAUUCUUACCAUUGAAGGCAAGACAAUUGUUCGCAAUUUUAUCAACAAUGAUUUAGAUAACGCCAAUUCAGUAUAACUAAUCUAAUAGUUAUAAGUAUUUUUUAAACUUAUAAGUGCUUUCAGAUUUUUUAUCAUUAUUUAGUUAUUUUUUAGUAGAACUUUUGAGAUUAAAUAAAUUAUUUUGCCUCCACUAGUAAAAACCUAAAUUUUGAGCUUUUUUUUUUAAAUGUUAAAAUGUCUAAAAUAUUAUUUAUUUAUUAAAUAAUAUUAUUUUAUUUUUUCAUAACAUAACUUUAAAAAAAAUUAUUUAUUAAAGUAAUUUUUUAAUUUUUAAUAAAAACUACCAAUGAGAAUUAAAUAACUACAAUUUUUUUUAAAUACUAAUAAAAAUAUUACUUAAAUAAAUUUUGUUUAAAAAAAUUAUACUAAAUAGAACCUUAGGCUAAAAAAACUUAUUUUAAGCCCAGCUAAAUUGAAAUAAUUUCUCAAUAAACAUUAUUUAUUAAAUAUUAUAGCCUCGUAUUGCAUUGUUUCUUCAGAUUAUUAUUAUUAUUAUUAUUAUUAAAUCCCUCUAUAAUACCAUAAUUUUUUUUACAGCAUCAUUAAUAUUGUCUUUAACAAAAAAACUCAUAAAUAUCAAAAUCAAAUCUCAAUAAAAGAGGUUUUGUCUCAAGGGAAAAAUAAAAAAAGGUGUGCACGAGAAGUUCAAUUUGGCACGUAGUCCUGUUUUUGCAUUUGUAUGAAAAGACUACAAAUGUACACAUCCCCAAUAUUAAUUGAUCGUCGUGAUGAUCAUCAAUAGCGGCGUUUCGUGGCAUCCAACCGAAACUUAAAUAUCAGGAAAAAAAAUUAAACAUGCGAAGCUAGUUAGUUAAUUCGGUUAGGAGGAUAAGUGGUGAGCUGAGUCAGCGUUUGUGGGGCCAGUAGUUAGUUAAGUUUGUUGCUACUAACAGCUGGACAAACGGAGCUAUAAUAUAUGGCUCAAGCCUAAUCAGCAGUGGUACUUGAAUCACGAUUUUGAGAGACUUAGGGUGAGAGAUAGAAAAUUCUCUGUGAGAGAGAUUUAAUCCUUGUCAUCAGUUGUCUCUUUGUAAUCAAUCAGUUCAAUAAAAGCUUCAAGCCCAAGAGGGUUCUUUAGCCGUGGAGGUAGGUACCAUUAGUACUGAACCACGUAAUCUUUGAGUGUUGUCUUCUUCAUCUUAUUCUUUUAUUCGAGUUCUUUAGCUUUUUUGGAUGUGUUGUUGUUUUCUUUAUCUUAUGAUAACAAUUCUUGGGGAGUCAGAUUGAUUGGGUUUGGUUGAUUAACGAUCAAGAUUUAACUAGUUUCUUAACAAAUUGGUAUCAGAGCCCUUACAGCUCUCAACGCGUGUUCACAAAUGGCUUCUACCAUAUAUGAUCUAGAAAAGUUCAAUGGCGAAAAUAACUUCUACCUAUGGAGUCUCAAGAUGCAUACAAUCUUGAUACAAUAGGGGCUUGAUGCUGCCCUUGAUAUUGAAGAAGAUCAAAUUGGUAAGAAAGAAAAAGCAUAAGGUUCCUCAGGUUCAGGUGGAGACUUGAGGACAAUCAACAACAAAGCUCACAACACCAUUAUCUUGCAUCUUUCAGAUGAAGUGCUGAGGGAGGUAGCAAAAGAAAGAUCUGCAUCAGGCCUCUGGACAAAACUUGAAGAGAUGUUCUUGAAGAAAUCCUUAGCCACGAGACUCUACAUGAAAAGGAGAUUGUACACGUUCUCAAUGAAGGAGGGAAUAACAAUGAAAGAUCAUCUUGAUGAAUUCAACAAGUUAAUUCUGGACCUGGAGAAUGUGAGCAUAAAUCUUGAAGAUGAGGACAAAGCUCUUAUACUGUUAAGCUCUCUUCCAGACUCAUAUGAGCAUUUCGUUGAUACAUUACUGUAUGGGAGACAAACCAUCACCUUAAAAGAUGUAAAGAGUACUCUCGAGUCAAAAGAUCUAAAGAAAAAAACUGAAGGAAAAGAUCAGGGGAUGGGUGAAAUCCUGAUGGCCAAAUCAAAAAUUGACAAGAAGAAGAAACAUGAGAAGAAGAAACUCGAAAAGAUCCAAAAUGAGACCUUUGGAAAGGCAGCUAUAGCAUCUGAGGAUGAAGGAGAUUCAGAAGGAGCUGAUGUUCUCAUUGCUGUCGAGAAGUAACCCACUGAAGAAUGGAUCCUUAACUCAGGCUGCUCCUUCCACAUGAGCCCCAAUAAGCAACUCUUCAAGACUUUCAAGAAAGUUGAUACAGGUAAAAAGUUGAUACAGGUAAAGUCUUACUAGGAAAUAACUUAGCAUGUAAAGUUGCUGGAAUUGGGACAGUGACCAUUACUAUGCAUGAUGGGGUAGCAAGAGAUCUAAGAAAUGUUAGAUAUGUACCAGAUCUAAAAAGAAAUCUUAUAUCCCUAGGAGAAGUUGACCAAUCUGGUUGCAGCAUAAAAGCUGAAAACGGUGAGCUAGAGGUCAUUAAAAAUGGCAUAGUUACAAUGAAGGGGGUUAGAAGAAAUGGACUAUAUGUUCUGAUAGGAUCAUCUUACAUACCAGGAAUAAUGGCCUCAGUUAGUAAAGAUAAAACUAAAAUAUGACACAUGAGAUUAGGCCACAUGAGUGAGAAAGGUUUAAGAGAGCUCAGUAAACAAGGAGUAAUUGGUUCUAAUCAGAUCUCCUCACUUGAGUUCUGUGAAAAGUGUGUUUUUAGUAAAGCAACCAGACAAAAGUUUGGCACUAGCAAGCAAGAAACCAAACAUUCAAUGGACUACAUCCAUUCAGACUUAUGGGGGCCAUCACAAGUUCCAUCACAUGGUGGGGCUAGAUACUUCAUGACUUUGAUUGGUGACUACACUAGAAAAGUUUGGGUUUAUGUCUUAAAACAGAAGGGGGAAGCACUACUGAAGUUCAAAGAAUGGAUGACAUUAAUUGAGAAUCAGACUGAGAGGAAAGUGAAAAGGCUGAGGAUUGAUAAUGGCCUAGAAUACUACAGCAAGGAGUUUGAUAGCUUCUGUAAAGAGAAGGGAAUUGUAAGACACAAAACAGUAAGGCGUAUACCUCAGCAAAAUGGCCUUGCUGAGAGGAUGAACAGGACCUUAGUGGAGAAAGUCAGGUGCAUGCUGUUUAGUGCAAAUCUAUCAAAACACUUCUGGGCUGAUGCUGUCACUACAGCAGCAUAUCUAAUCAACAGAAGCCCCUCUACAGCACUGAACUUCAAAACCCCCCAAGAGGUCUGGUCUGGUAAAAUUCCUGAUCUCAGUAAUCUUAGAAUAUUUAGCUCACCAACAUAUGCACACAUCAAACAGGGAAAACUUGAGUCUAGGGCAAUUAAAGGUAUCUUUAUUGGGUACCCUGAGGGAGUUAAGGAAUAUAGGAUCUGGUUUUCUGAUGGGAAACCUUCAAGAGUAAUUGUGAGCAGGGAUGUUAUUUUUUAUGAGGAUGCUAUGCUACAACAAAAGGUUGAAACUGAACUAUUAGCUCUUGAGCAAAGUAUCAGUCAAGAGCCUAACUUGGAGGUGGAGUCUGCAGAUGACAAGAUCAAAUCUCAUGAUAGCAGAACUAGCUCCUCAGAAAAAGAGACUUAUCAGCUGGCAAGAGACAGAGAGAUGAGAGUUAUCAGAAUGCCUAAGAGAUUUGGCAUAGCUGAUCUGAUAUCCUAUGCACUCACAGUGGCUGAAGAAGUUAUUGGGGAAGAACUUAGUAGCUACAAACAAGCCAUGAACAGCAGAGAUAAGUCAAAUUGGUUAUCAAUAAUGAAAAAAGAAAUGGCAUCACUAAAGAAAAAUGACACAUGGAUUUUGGUAGAAAAGCCUAUGGAAAGGAAGCUAGUUGAGUGUAAAUGGAUUUUCAAGCUUAAAGAAGGAGUUGCUGGUGUUGAACCUCCAAGAUAUAAAGUUAGGCUGGUUGCUAAGGGUUUUACACAAAGAGAAGGGGUAGAUUACAGUGAAGUGUUUUCUCCUGUUGCUAAGUACAGCUCAAUCAAGGUGUUACUUGCCAUCACAGCUUAUUUUGAUUUGGAGUUAGAUAAGCUAGAUGUCAAGACAGCCUUUCUUCAUGGAAACCUUGAGGAAGAGAUAUACAUGGAACAACCAAAAGGUUUCAUUCAGAAUGGAUUAGAAGACAGGGUUUGCUUGCUUAAAAAGAGUUUAUAUGGCUUGAAGCAAUCUCCCAGACAGGGGUAUUUGAAGUUUGACCAGUUUAUGAUGGCACAUGGCUACUUUAGAAGUCAAUAUAAUAAUUGUGUAUACUGUAAGCUUCUACCUUCUAGAAAUGGGAUUUAUUUACUUUUCUAUAUUGAUGACAUUCUCAUAGCAUGCAAACACAGAGAAAAAAUAGAGAAACUUAAGUCUGAGCUGAGAUCUGAAUUUGAAAUGAAAGACUUAGGCUCUGUAAGCAAGAUCCUAUGAAUGCAGGUCAAGAGAGAUUGAGUUGCCAAAACUCUAUUCCUCACACAGGCUGGUUAUGUAAGAAAAGUUUUGAACAAGUUUGGAAUGAUAAAUGUAAAAGAAGUUUCCACUCCCUUAGCCACUCAUUUCAAAUUGUCAAAACAGUAGGAGUCAUCUGAUGAUGCUGAUAUUGAGUAUAUGAAGAAGGUUUCUUACUCUAGUGUAGUUGGAAGCAUUAUGUAUGCUAUGGUCUGCACUAGACCUAAUAUUGCUUAUAGUGUGGGCUUGGUUAGCAGAUUUAUGGGGAAUCCAGGAAAGAGUCACUGGGAUGCUGCUAAAUGGACACUUAGGUAUCUUAAAGGGACAUCUGAAUCUAAUAUUUUGUUUGGAGGGGAUGAGGGUGUCACAAGUAAAAUCAUUGGCUAUGUGGACUCUGAUUUCGCUGGUGACUUGGACAAAAGAAGGUCAACUACUGGUUUUGUUUUUACAUUGUGUGGUGGAGUUGUGAGUUGGAAAGCUUCUCUAGAGCCAGUGGUUGCAUUAUCCACUAUUGAGGCUGAGUACAUUGCAUUAGUUGAAGCUGUAAAAGAAGCAAAAUGGCUCAGUGGAAUAGUAUCAGAACUGGGACUGAAUCAAGACACAAUUCCCGUAUGUUGUAACAGCUCAAGUGCAAUUCAGCUGAGUAAGAAUUCCAAGUGUCAUGAAAGAACCAAGCAUGUAGAUAUAAGACUACAUUUCAUAAGGGAAGAAAUUGAAAGAGGUGCAAUAGAUGUCGUUAGAAUAUCUACAGAGGACAAUCCAGCAGAUGCAUUAACAAAACCAUUGCCAACAAUCAAGUUCAGGAACUCUCUGAGCUUGAUUGGAGUUAGAUGCUUGUAAGUCAAGCAUGUCAACAAGCUGAAGCAUAGUUGGGGUGAGGCUGGAACAGAAUGAACUAAGGUGGAGAUUUGUGAAGCUAGUUAGUUAAUUCGGUUAGGAGGAUAAGUGGCAAGCUGAGUCAGCGUUUGCGGGGCCAGUAGUUAGUUAAGUUUGUUGCUACUAACAGCUGGACAAACAGAGCUAUAAUAUAUGGCUCAAGCCUGAUCAGCAGUGGUACUUGAAUCACGAUUUUGAGAGACUUAGGGUGAGAGAUAGAAAAUUCUCUGUGAGAGAGAUUUAAUCAUUUUCAUCAGUUGUCUCUUUGUAAUCAAUCAGUUCAAUAAAAGCUUCAAGUCCAAGAGGGUUCUUUAGCCGUGGAGGUAGGUACCAUUGGUACUGAACCACGUAAUCUUUGAGUGUUGUCUUCUUCAUUUUAUUCUUUUAUUCGAGUUCUUUAGCUUUAUUGGAUGUGUUGUUGUUUUCUUUACCUUAUGAUAACAGUUCUUGGGGAGUCAGAUCGAUUAGGUUUGGUUGAUUAACGAUCAAGAUUUAACUAGUUUCUUAACAAAACAAAAAACGGUUUUCACUUUCCAUUGAACUCUUGCAAAUUAAGCAACUCUAUAUACAUCGUUGUUAUUGUUUUUAUUAUGUUUUUGUUGCAUUAUUGUGAAAAAAUCAAAGGAAUAUCGAGAAAAGGAGACGAUGGGAUCUUUUCUUUCAAGACCCUUGCUGUAUGCAGCAAACAAUUAAUCAGAAAUUCCAUUUUCUUUUAUUUUCCGUUUAGUUUUUCUUUAAUUAUCAGAAAUAUUAACUUAAGUUAAUGGUUUAUUAAUUGGAAUUUUUUUCCCCCUUCACGGAAUGGUUUUUGGUUAUGCUUACCCUGCAUAUGAGUGCUUUAAAGCAGUAGAGAAGAACAAGCCAGAUAUUGAACAGCUCCUGUUUUGGUGCCAAUAUUGGUAUGGAUCAAUGCUUACACUAUUAACUAAGGAUUAUUUUGCAACAAUACUAAUUAAUCCCUACAUAUAACGACUCAUAUUCAUGUCUAGGUGUUUGAAUUUAAUAAAUUCAAAUUAUUAGAAUCAGAGUUAUACAGCACCUGAUUCUAAUUCAACUUUUAAUAUUUUCAGGGGACGGCUUAUGUUAUAUAAUGUUUUAUUGCGGCCUUAUGCUGCAAAACAUGAGAAAGAAAUUGAUCUUAAUUUGUUGAAGCUGAGAAUUAAGGCCAGGGAAAUAGGUCUUCUGCUUUGGGAGAAGGCUGCCAUUUAUGGGCAAACAAGGUUUUUUGAGAUUUUGCAGUACGUCUCUUCUCACUCAGCUUCACUGCCUCAAUCUGAUCAGGUAAUUUAACAACAUUUUGUAAGAUAUUUUGCUGCCAAUUUCCUCAUUAAGAGACAAAAAAUGUUUUGUUUUAGGAUUUAUGAAAAACGACAGAAAAAUAAGUGGAAAAAUAUAAAAGAAAUUAUAGUGAAUUUUCUUGUUAUAUUACAAUAUAUAGGAAGCAAGUUAAACUGUUUUUGAUUCUGCUGCAGCAGCAGCAAGAAGCUACGGAAGAAGCUAUAAAUGGAAGAAGCUACAGCAAGAAUUUUCUUGUCAUAUUUGCCAACAAAAUAUGAGGCUGCUGCUAAAAUGGAAACAAUGCCAGUAUCAUCAUCUUUCCAAGAUGGCAAUUUAAUUAAUUCCUUCAAUCAAAAAGGAGUUUCCAGUGAUCAAGCUAUCCGGCAAUCAAGAAGCAAAUGGACGUUGUUCAGGACUGCAGCAGCAAGCCAAUAAUAAAGCCCUUGUAUUUGUCUUCUGCCAUUAUGAAGAUGAUUUAUAUACGUAGAAGAUGCAAAUUUAACACCAAUUAAUAGUUAAUUAGUCUCCAUUGUUUACUUGCUACCAAUUUUGUAUCAUAAAAAUCUCAUGGGACUAUUGAUUAACAAUAUAUAUAGUGAGUAGUAGUGGCUGGGUACUUUCAGUUGGAAGAAAAUUGUAUAUGCUUGGAGGACAUGUUUGUUUUUUUAUGACUAAAUAUAAGUGUUAAAUUAUUUGUCUUAUAAGCAAAAAAAAAAAUUGAAUUAUAAUAUUUUGACAUUUAUGUCCCUAUAAGUAUUAAUAUAUAUUUGAUAAGUUAAAGAUGGUUUGUGACAGUCAGAGUGUCUUGCAUAUUGCAAGGAACCCAGCCUUUCAUUCUAGAACAAAGCACAUGGGGGUUCAGUAUCACUUCGUUCGAGAAGUAGUGGAAGCCGGAAGUGUGGAUUUAUAGAAAAUCCAUACGAAGGAGAACCUAGCAGAUGUUUUGACCAAGCCGAUAAAUACUGAUAAGUUUGUCUGCAGUAGAUCCUCUUGUGGCUUAGUAGAAACGUAGGCAACAUGACAAUGACGAAGCAGAAAUGAUGAUGUGGAGAUUGAUUGAUUCUCAAUCAAAUCUCCAAGUGGGAGAAUGUCAAAAGAUUUGGCUGCAGCAUCUAGAAGCUGCAUCUAGAAGGUUUGAAGAAGUAAAAUGGUUGGCACAUGGCUUUGAAGUUCUAAAUGCCGUAAUGUUUGGUAAAAGAAAAAGAAAAAUUCAAAGCUAAAAAAUUCAAAGUUUGAAAAACUAAAAUUUUUGAGCUGUAUGGCUUGAAGUUUAUGACCACCUUUUUGACUUUUGAGGCAAAGUUUUGCCUAUAAAUACAAGCUCUCAAUUUAGAGCUUGUAUCCAAUUUUGUAAAGAGAGUCAAGAGUUGUGAGAAACAAUUCCUGCAGAGAGUUUUUGUAGAGCUUAAAUAAUAAAAGCUCUUGUUUAGUGAUUUGAGAGUUUGGGUGUAUUGGAGUUUUGGGUAGUGAGCUAAAAUACUACAAUACUUGUAACUCCUUUUCACUAGUAAAAUAUUUUUCUUCUGUCUUCGUCCGUGGAUGUAGGCUAAAAGCCGAACCACGUAAUUUCUAGUGUCCACUUUUUGUGCUUGUUCUUUUUUUUUCUUACAAUUUCAUUUUAGCUGCGUGUCUGCUUCACCCAUCAAUUUCCUAACAUCAAAGACACAGUACAAGAUCAAUAGAUGCAGAGAAAAUGUAACGCUAAUGAACAAGUCGAAAAUCUAAGGAUUUGAACAAGAAAUGUAAGAGUUCAAGUCACACCAAUCGGGCUAGCUAAUCAGCCCUUUUCUAGGUUUGUUAUAAAGACAACAAACUUAAUUAUUAUUAACAAUAAUUAAUAAUAACUAAAAUAAUAAAGUUAAUAAAAUUUAAUAAUAAUAAUAAUAAUAACAACAAUAAGGAUAAUAUUAUUAAUAAUGAUAAAUUAAUUAUUUUUAUUGUUAAUAAUGAUAAUAUUAAUAAAAAUAAUAAUAAUAGUAAUAAUUAAUAAGAACUAAAAUAAUAAAGUUAAUAAAAUUUAAUUAUUAUUAUUAAUGACAUUUAAAAUAAUAAAAUUAUUUGUGAUUUGAAUAAGGGUAAUUUAGAAAAUAUGAAAAAAUUAUAAGUAUAGAAAAGUAAAUUUAUGUUUCAUUCUCAUUCCCACAUUUUCAUUCUCAACCCACCUCCAUGGGAAUGAGAUUCUCAUUCCUUAUUCCCAAAUUGUGUGGGACCCACACAUUUUAUUCAUAUUCCCAAAUUAUAUUUUGCCAAGUAAACAUGUGUUUCAUUCUCACUCCUUCAUUCUCAUUCCCCAAACCCACAAGUAAACACACCAUAAGUUCUUUUACUAGGUGCUAUUUUCAUAUGGACCUAACAACUUCAGUUAUUUUGCAAAUAGAUUCAAAAAGGUUUGCAUGUUACCCCUUUCAACAAUUUAUAUAUUAUUUGAGAGGAAAUUACCCCUUGAGCAAAAUUUUGGAACUUGUUUUUUAAGUUCUGUUUGGAGAUAAAUACCAAAACUUAAGUGUAAAGAUUCAUAAAAGAUAGAGAAAUAAAAAAUUUUAAUAAUUGGGAUAUUAUUGAAUAUAGUAUGAAUAACAAAAUUAAGGUUUUAUGACCUCUUUUAUAGUAUCCAUAAAUAAUGUGAAUUUACCAAAAUAGGUAAAACACAAAUUAUUAUUACAUAUACAAUUCUACCAAUUGAAAUAAGGAAAACAAAGCAAACAACACCCAAAUCAAUAUCUAGAAAAAAAAAAGGAAUAAAAAUCCUGAAAGCAAAAAAAAAAGGAAAAUAACUAAAACUUGCAAAAUAACCAUGGACGAAAUAAAACUUCCAACAAAACUAUUGGGCCAUAUCCAAAAAAACAGUAUUGUGUUAAUUUUUUCUCGACAACAACUUCAAAAAAAUAUAUUAUACCCCCAAAUGGACACAUGUAAUUUAAGUUGAACCCAAAAAAAUUCCAUGCUUAUCCUAUGUAACCAUCCUAUAUCAAUAAAAUUAUAUAUAUAUAUAUAUAUAUAUAUAUAUAUAUAUAUAUAUAUAUAUAUUAACAGUUUUAUUGCUAAAAACCAACUCCAACCGACUUUUAAAAAUGUUAAAAUUUAUCUUCAGCAAUAAUAUCAAAAACUUGUUUUAAAGCAAGUAUUUUUUCUAACAAAAGUUAAUUUGAGUCUAAGCUUCAUCUAAUAAAUAUAAAAUAACGUCUUCAAUAAACAAUUCCAGAUAAUGGUUUUGGCAGUUUCUAUGAUGAUGAUGAUGAUAAGCCCCAUGAGGAUUGUGGUAUUGUGGCAUAUGUAACUGUUCUUAGCAUUUCGUAAGCUCCACAAGGCUCCUUUGAUAGGGAAGAUGGAUAUUGGGCUAAUUAUAACAUAAGCUUUUAGCAACCCUCGAAUCUUAGAAGUAGAUUUUAAGUAUGAGUUGGUUUUAUAAACCUCUAUAUCGUAUCAAAGUCAAACUCAUACAUAAGUAGGUGUAUAUUACCUUACCUCGUGAUAAGAAUUAAAUAAAAAAACCAACCAGCUAGCACACGACAGAAGGUGAUAGGAAAAUUAUCUCACAUCAACUAAGAUAGUUAGUAGGUUGAUAAUAUAAGUUUGAGACAACUUAUUAUAUUGUUGUUUGAACUCAACUCAUGGAUGAUAUUAAUUCGUGGUUUUUUGUGCCACUUAUGUCUUUGUGUUUAAAUCUAGACCUUAUCAUUCAAUAUUCACUGUGACCAGCUUAGUUUUAUCAUGUAUCUAUUUUGUACAAUUAUUUUGCAACUCAAAUGUUGUAUUAAACAAUAUCAAUUAUAAUAAAGUUUCAUCCGGAAAGCAUUCUUACCAGUGAAGGCAAGACAUUAAUUGUUCGUAAUUUUAUCAAAAUGAAACAGAGAAAAAAAGCGGCUGAUUCUCGGAAUUACACGGGCAAGCUUAUUUUAAGCCCGUCUAAAUUAAAAUAAUUUUUCAAUAAACAUUAUUAUUAAAUAUAAUGUUCAAUUUAGCACGUGGUCCUGGUUUUGCGUUUGCAUGGAAAGAUCUCAAGUGUAUAUAUGUCGUCGUCGUCGUCGUUGUUGUUAUUAUUAUGAUUGUUAUUAUUAUUAUUAUGUUUUUGUUGCAUUAUUGUGAAAAAAUCAAGGGACUAUCGAGAAAAAGAGAUGAUGGGAUCUUUUCUUUCAACACCCCUUCUGUAUGCAACAAACAAUUAAUCAGAAAUUCCCUUUUCUUUUAUUUUCCGUUUAGUUUUUCUUUAAUUAUCAGAAAUAUUAACUUAAGUUAAUGGUUCAUUAAUUAAUUGCAAUUUUUUUCCCCCUUCACAGAAUGGUUUUUGGUUAUGCUUACCCUGCAUAUGAGUGCUUUAAAGCAGCAGAGAAGAACAAGCCAGAUACUGAACAGCUCCUGUUUUGGUGCCAAUAUUGGUAUGGAACUAUGGAUCAGUGCUUACACUAUUAACUAAUUAAGAAUUAUUUUGCAACAAUCCUAAUUAAUCCCUUACAUAUAACGAGUCAUAUUCAUGUCUGGAUGCUUGGAUUUAAUAAAUUCAAAUUAUUAGAAUCAGAGUUAUACAGCACCUGAUUCUAAUUCUUGAUUUUGUAAAAUCACGACGUCCGAACCUAGGCAUCCUUUUGCUUGUAAUAACAAAGAAUUGCAUUCGCCACUUCGGCCUUGGCCGAAGUGGUGGGCUGCUGCCCUCACAAGCAUUGUGAGGGCAGCGGUUCUAACCCCCACAAAAGCAUUGUGGGGGCUAAAUGUUCUUUAUAUUUAAAAAUCAUUCUCCCUUGCGAAAUGCAAGUGGAGUAUGGACAUCCCUCUCCUGUGAGGGGUUAUUUAUCUGGGCAUGUACUUCAUAGAAUUCAUUGUAAUAAUGUAAGUCCCAAUCAUGUAAUGUAAGUCCCAAUCAUGUAUAUCUGAUUGUAAAUAUCAGUGUAAUAUCUCUGCUACAAUAAGCAGUUGUUGUAAAUAUCUGUGUAAUGCAGUAAUCUGAUGAUUAAUCAGUAUUCAAUAAAAAAACAAAGAAUUGCAUUCGUUGUGUUGUAAUUAUAGGGUUUUGGUCGCUGUGUUCACAGUUGGUGAGAGGGUGGGCGAUACCUUUAUUUCAUGGUAUGUGUAUUUUUAUGAAUAACAAUACUAUUUUUUUUUUUUUUGAAUUACAUGAGACUAAUGCUUAGAUUACAACUCAUAUUAUAUGAAAUUUACAACUAAUAUUUACAAUCAAACAAUUACUGGGCCUAAUUUAUAUUAAUUCUUAUAUAGCACUGCCCAAAUUUUUACCCUCUCUAAUAUUCGAGGGGUGUCUACUCCACUCACAUUUCGAAAGGGAGUAGAUUGCCUUCACUUAAUAAUUAAGAAAGGAAAUAAACCCCUACAUGCGUUGCGGGGGCUCAGACAAUUAUUAGUACAACGUCACGUGACAGUAUUGCGUAUUAACUUGAAGGUUACCGAUGUACAGUGAAGCUAAGUUGGCAUUCUUCAUAUAUCUUUGAUAUCCCAAAACAAAAGUAAUAAAUCUGCAUUAAUUCAUCAUCUUUUUCAGUACUCUGUAAAAUUUCUGAUUGAAAUUAUUUAAAAAGUUUCAGCUUUUAAUAUCUUCAGGGGACAGAUUAUGUUUAUAAUGUUUCAUUGCGGCCUUAUGUUGCAAAACAUGAGAAAGAAAUUGAUCUUAAUUUGUUAAAGCUGAGAAUUAAGGCAAGGGACAUAAGUCUUCUGUUUUGGGAGUAGGCUGCCAUUUAAGCAAAUGGACGUUGUUCAGGACUGCAGCAGCAAGCCAAUAAUAAAGCCCUUGUAUUUGUCUUGUGCCAUUAUGCAGAUGAUUUAUAUAUGUAGAAGAUGCAAAUUUAACACCAAAUAAUAGUUAAUUAGUCUCCAUUGGUUGCUUGCUACCAAUUUUGUAUCAUAUCAAUCUCAUGGGACUAUUGAUUAACAAAAUAUAUAGUGCGUGGUAGUGAAAGGGGACUUUCAGUUAGAAGAAAAUUGUAACAUGCAAUAGUCAAUAACACGUUUAAAUUGCAGCAUGUACUAGCUUACCUAAAUUGUCUAUUCAUUUUUAUCCACGUGUAGAGAAUUAACUAAUCAACAAAUUAAUCUGUGACACGUUUUUGUAAUUGCAUGCCGAUAAUUUUUUAUAAGGUAAUUUAAUGCGCGAUGCAACCAUUUUAGGCACGAGGUUUGGAAGUACUUCUAAUUGUUAUUAAAUAUGAAUUAGGAUCCCACUUUAUAUUGUUAUCUACUAAACUACUAAUCACUCAUAUGAAGAAGCGGCUCAAAUCUAAAGAAAAUCAUAAUCUAUUAAAUAAAUGACGAGUUAUCUUAAAGUUCAAUUUAAUUGAUUUUACCAUCUAUAGUGGAAACAACCAGUCAAGUGCUCAAUUUUUAAAGGAUUAAAUUAUUUAUACUGUAAAAAUUAUUCUGAACAUUUAUUAUUUCAUACAACCAUUCACUUAAUUUUAAAAAUUAAGAUUUUAUUUUUUUUGCUUUUUUAAUUUGAAUAUAUCUUAAUUAAAUGAAAGUCUAAAUAGCUCUGAAUGUAUAUGCUUGAGGACAUGUUUGCUUUUUUAUGACUAAAUAUAAGUGUUAAAUUAUUUGUCUUAUAAGCCAAAAAAAAAAUGAAUUAUGAUAUUUUGACAUUUAUGUCCCUUUAAGUAUUAAUAUAUAUUUGAUAAGUUAAAGAUGGUAAGUAAAUUAAAAUCAUUUUAUUAUUAAUUAUAAAAUAUCUAUUUUUUUUCAACAUAUACAAUGUUACAGCUAAAAAAGGUACAAUGUUAAUUACAUUAUUUGUGUGUAUGAUAUGAUUUUUUUUUCGUUUAAUCACACAAGUUGACAUAGAAUCAAUUAACAAUUUCAAGUAAAAUAGCAUUUUACAUAUAUUAUUAAUUGUAAAAGUUAAAAUAAUUAACGAAUAAAAACAACAGCUACAUCCUACCUCAUUAAUUUUUGUUAAAAGUUUUGUUCAAAAUGAUUGUUAUAAAAAAAGAGCUUGACAUGAGUACCCGACGUAACAGCAAUUGAAAAGUGUAAAAUAAAAAUUAGUUAUGUUUGAUUGGAAAUAAGCGUAUUAAUAGGGGUAUUUUUGAGAUAUUAUAGUGAUUUUCGUUCAAACUUUUUUUAAUUCAGAUAAAAGUUAAGUUAUUUAAUUUUUUCUAUUUAUUUAAUUUUUUCUAUUAAGUGGUAUAUUCUAGAAUUUAGAUAAAAUAUGAAAAACAAACUAGUAAACUUAAAAAAUGUCUGACUUCAUACAUUUAAAAAACAAGUUUUAAGUUUUACUUUAUACACUUUUUAAAAUAUCUAAAAAAAUCCUUACAAUUAAAUCAUUUUUGUUAAUUUGUAAAUAAAUUCUUUUUAACACAAUUUGAAUAUCUUGGAAUCGUAUCUUUUCUACCUUCUGAUAUUAUUGUGUUAAACAAAUCAAAUGGCUUCUGCUAUGGAUGUUUUUCCCGCGCAUUUGGUUUAUUUUCCUUUAAAUUGUUGCAUCUUGCAACUCUUCAGCAACAAAGUUUACUCAUCUCGUUUUCAUUCGCUUGAAUCAAGAGACAAUUGUGUAAAAUUGUAAGAUUAAGUAAAUAAAUAAACUCGAACACAAGUUUAGUUAUUAUUAUGAACCAGAAGUUUUAAGUAUGAUAAUUAUAAAUCAUUAUUACAUUAGUUAUAAUAGAUUAUUCAUUUGUUGGUAACAUUAAUUCAUGUGAUGAGAAUUUUUGAAAUAAAUUAUUUUAUUUAAAUAAAAGUAUUCGAAGUAAUUUUUAAAAUAUAAAUACCUUAUUUAUUUAAAAAAAAUACUAUAUUUAGGCAUGUGAAGGCUACAUUCAAUUGGAUUGACACUCAACCCUCCCAAUAACAAAAAAUGCAGGUAUAGAAAAAACUCAACUGAGGACAUGUUAAAAAUAUGCUUUUUUUUUUUAGUACAAUGGAACUCUUAACAAGAGAUAAAGACGGAUAAAGUAGGAAUAAACAACUUCAUACAUAUCAUGUGUGAGAAAAGAGAGCAAAUUAGUAUGGGGUCAUUAAAAAUUUAAAAUGGUGACAUUCAGAUGAUAGAGACUGGGCAUAAUUAGCUAAGAAAUCUAUAAUAAAAUUUGCUUCACGAUACACAUAAUUUAUGGUGAUGUUCCAGUCUCGUUUCAUUAACAUAAGUUCAGGAACAAAAAAGGAUGCUAUUUUUUAACAUAAGCUCAGGAAUAAAAAAUUAACAACCACAUUUAAGAUUUAAAACACAAGUUGCCUUAAAUUAACUCGAUUACAUGUGUCUAUUUGAAAUUAUUAAAAAUAAAUUCUAUUUUUCCCGCUAUCCCUAUCACUUUGCCAACGUGUUAUUCUCACAUUGGCCUGAUUUGCAGCCUCGAAUUGACCACAGCAGAUUAAAAAGAGCAUGUACUGAAAUCGACAAAAUCAAAAUUCGGGUGCGUACCAGGCAAUACAGACCAGCCACAAACUUUUAUUGGAUGAUUCCCACGUAACGAAGAGUCAACGGUCAAUACGAGCUGGGAACUGACUGAGCCUGCGCUGUAAAGUCCACGCGGCAUGCAGAUACGGGCCGACCAAAAGUGAAAAGCAGACUUAAUCACCCCGGCCUCUGCUGGUCUCAUCUCUUCUCGUCUCAUCCUCUAUUCGGACCUGUCUAUGUUACAGAUUCUGUAACAAACAUCUCCCGUCAUCCCACCAUCCGAUUUUCUUUUGUUUAGUUUCUCACUCCACAUCCAACCACAUCCAACGGCUGAUGCUGCAGUCUGUACCUUACAGAUUCUGUAACGUAGUUUUGUCCCCUCUUAUGAUCUAAACCUCUUUUACAGGAGGCCCUCAAACCGUCCCACGUGUCCUGACCACACAUAGAUUUGUGUGGUCACCAACCUCUGUCCUUAUCUCUCUCUAUUUCUAAGGACGUGUUUGGCCUCAUUUUUCAAAGUGCUUGUCACAAUGAAACAAAGAAAAUAAAAUAUGUUAAUGGAUCAAUAACAUGUUGUGCUUAUUUAAUUUAAAUAUUUAAUUGAGAUAUUUAUUGAUGUAUCAAAAAUUAUUUAAGGGUAUUAAUUAAUUUUAUUAUUAAUUAUUAGCCUAUCACCACUCUCUAGAUUACACAUAAAAUAGCACAUCAAUUAAUAUCUUAAUUAAACAUCUAAAGUGAAUAAACAUAGUAAUUAAUCUAUCAUAAUUCAAUUAAACAAUUUAAUAAAAAUAUUCUCAUAAAACUCACAUCAGCUGCUGUUAAAAUUAAAAAAUUUUGUCAAAAUUUUUGAAAAAUUAUAUUUUGCGAAUGACAAGCUAAAUAGAUUACAUUAAGAAAGAUAAAAAUUUAAGACAAGUGAGAGUUGUUCUUUAUGAUUUAUGCAAGUCAACAUUUAUCCGUUUAUACAUUGAUUUUGUUUGAAUAUAAACUCAAUUAAGACAGGUUCAAUGCACUAUUUUCUCGUGCUUAAGACAUGUUCAAUGAAUAUAAAAGUAAAUUUAAUAUUUAAGGUUUUAUUUUAAAUUUCUUUUUAUAUGGGUGAUGUAUCUUUUCACGUACAUGUAUAAGUAAAUAUAUUUCGAGUUUAGGGUAAAGAUCUCACUUUUAUUAUAUUGUAUAACACGUAUAAAGAUGCUACAAGUAAAUAUAGUAUAUCAUAAAUUAAAAGAAAGAGUGAUGUUAUGUUUAUUUAGUUAUGAUAUAUAAUUUUUAUCUUAACUUAUGUAUUGAUAAUUAAAAUUUAUUAUUUGAGUUAAAAAUAACAAGACUCGGUAAUUAUUUAUCACUUAAAUUAAUUAUACAGUGAUACAUUAUUUAUUAUAUUAGUUAAAAUAUAUAUUAACUUUCCUUAAAUAAGUGUAAAAGAAAGAGAGAGUGAUGCACGUUGAAAAUAAUACUAAAUUAAAUGAAACCAAACCAAACAGGCCCCACACUUUAGUUUCUAAAAAUAUACAUUAUCUAACGACUACGGCUCUCCCUUUUUUAUCAUAUAAAUGUGAGCCAAAAGAGUUAAUUAGACGCAGGGGAAGAAGAAGGCAAAUGGAGGGACUCGCCCAAUACCAAAGGCAACUCUUGUGAUUCACGAGACUCUCAACAAAACAAAAGGCAAAGGCAAAAAGCAAAUCCACAAACCUAAAACCCCAGCUUCACGAGAAUCAUCACAAGAAGAUUAAUGGAGACAGCUGAAAGUACAAGCUCGAUGAAGCAGCAGCACCACCAACAGCAAGUGCUGGACGGUUCAAAUAUAAUGAAGUUGGUUGGAAAUGAGGAG